rnacentral:lncRNA from 1 species
AUGGGCUCUGGUCCCAGCAGGCUGCUUCAAGCAUUUUGUCGACAGUUUGAAUUUCUGCACCGCUCUUGCUUUUUCAGCUUCGUCAUUUUGACAGGCCAAUUCUCUGACAUUUUCUCCUCUGCUGGCUUUGCGAGGCAGAGACGACAUGCAUUAGCUGAGCUCCCAGCACUGUCCUUUCCCGGGCACCAGCCGUGGCUGCGGCAACGUUUGCCAACCUUGCAGCUUUUUCACCCAGAUUCCUUUUUUCAGAGCAGUUUGGAAGGCCCUUGGGGAUGUUCACUCAGCUGUUUGCGUGCUGGAAAGAAAUCCAUUUUUCUCCAAGAUAAACCAAGGGCUGCUUAACCUCUGAUGACUGAGUGGAUCUGGGAAAUGAAUCGACCAAUCUUUAACACAAGGAAUCAGAUGGUCAGAAGAGGCAGGAUGAGAUGGCAGGUCCGUUCAACUGCUAAAAUUGAAGCUAAAGGGUCUGGGAUGUGACUUUUAAGAGAGUCCAAAUAAAAGGCUGCCCAUCAACACAGGAGUUCAGGAAUGGCGUGAUGACAUACUUGUGUCUGGAGCUGGACACAUCAACAGGGAGACCAUGACUGGGAGAUGCCUCCCUCAGCACAGAACCAGAUGAUGCUGAGUCAAGUCCAUGCCCUGCAGUUGAUUUCAGCCCAUACUGCUGCUGUUAUCAGCGGUUGGAAGAGGGAGAUGCAGGGAGUGGAGGAAGCACCUCUCCCCUGGGCUCAGUGCCUGGCGUUCCCAGUGAUUUGCUGGAUGCCCUUGGAAAAGCCAAUUAAGGUUUUGUUGCCUCGGAUUUCUCAGCUGUACAAUCCAGACUUGUUCGCAGGCAUAAUUAACCCAUAGUCUGACCACAGUUUCAGGCAUGUGGUUUGUAAGAGGAUGGCAUGAUUAUUUCAAAAACCAGGUAUUGAGAGUAUUAAUAGAUUUUUUUAGGCUUGAAGCAAUGACUGUGCUAAUUUAUUUAUACAGCAUUUGUUAACAAGAUUGCAGAACCUCUUCCAGCAAUAUCUACACUGCAGGCAUGCCUGCAAGUCCUCUCUGUACUGUAGCAUACCCUCUAGAAGAUGUUAAGUCUUGAUUUAAAGAUCCCAGGCGACAGAGACUUCAUCACAUCUGCAGGUCAGCUGCUGAAAGCUUAUUUUCCUGCGUUGCUGAAGUAUGCCAUAUUGCUAGUCUGGGUGUAUCCAGGAUCAGUUCCCACUGCACGAAGAUUAAAGAGCCAUAAAUGUGAGCAAUCUCUAACCCAAGUAGGGAGCUGCAGACUGUGACUGAGUGAGCUUUUUGCAUGCAUGUGGAUAAACUGAAUAGAUUAGGGCUUAAGCCUCUCAGAAUAAAGCAGGUUUUCACAAUCUUAGAUAAUUCCUAGAACCCUCAUCUGAAACCUUCCAGAUUUUUCCAACCUCUUUCUUAGAUGCCAAAAGCAAAGAAAGUAUCAAAGACAAACUCAAUGACCUUGUAUUUAGGUGUAAUAUCUCCAUACCACCACCUACCUCCUUCCUCAUUCAUGGCUCAAUACUUGUGCUCAUAACUACAGCCUUGCACUGCAAUCUGUGUUUGGCAGUGCCCUAUUUCUAUUCCAACACAGUUUCCGAGCAAUCUCAAAGUACCUGUUUACAGUGUGAUCAAUGCUUAGACACAAAUGUAGGGUGAGUAACUGAUAUUUUGAUUUAAAAUAAACUAUCAAGCAGCCGGUAGUCUGCCUGUGUCUGCGAGUGGAGGCAAGUCCACAGCUGGAGUUUUUCAGCCGAGACAUUCAAGCACACCCUGGAUGGAGCCUGCUGGAUCACAACAAACCUGGCGUAAGCUGACAGUGCAAACCUCCAAGGAGCAUCCCUCUGCAAAUGAGAUGUCCGUAGGGAGGAAGAUAGAAAUUAGGAUGAGAAAUGCAAAGUAAAUGCAGAACAAACUAAACGAAGAAUGUUUCCAGGAAAAAGGUCUGCGGAAGUGGGACUCAAUAGGCAGGGAAAGGGGAUUUCCUCUAAACAGAAGGAAAGCUUUGCCGAGAAGCAAAAAAGCCAGGACCUGCUUUACUAAAAAUAGAGAAAUAAGAUAUAGGAUAUAUUUCCUUACUAGGAAGAAAAGAAACCAGGAAAUAGAAAAUUCUGUUUGAAUUAAAACUAACAUUGGCUAAUUUCAGUUAAUUAAUUCAAGCUAAGAACUCAUUUUUUCUUGUAACAUGGAAAUAUUCUGCUAAAUGGAAUGGACUGGUAGAUGAAGAGAAAAACACCAUAGCAUGCACUGAGCAGGAGAUGUCAGAGGAAUAGAUCAGAGGUUAUACCAAAGAAAUGGUAGAAUGUUGGAAAGAAUAAAGGGACAAUUUGGGGAAUGGGGAAGUAGACAUGGGAUGUACGUAUCUGUAUAGUGAGAAAACCAACACUCCUGCUUCAUCACAGCCACUGCAGCAACAGCAGCAGGGCUCUUACAAAAUCCAUCCUGCACAGCAAAGCUCUUGAUUCAAAUGGAGACAAACCUCUGUGAGACUCUUAGUGGCAGCAGUUCUCCUCUGGGACAUGGAGGGGCCACUGAGCAUCACUUCUCAUUGCCAUGGACAAGGGUCUGAUGUUCAAUUUUACCUCUCCUGUCAUCUGCUGCUGAAUGGGAAGAGAAAGCCUCCCUCCUUCCCUUCUGCAUCAAUAUAGUGAUGGAGAACAAAGCUUCCCCUAAGUGAAAGUGUAAGCUUAGCUAUCUGAUUGGUUACGAGGCUUGUUUGCAGCCUGCAGGGACGCUCGGGAGCACACUGAUUGGCUGUGCUUAAUAGCAGCGACAAAAAUCCUUACCCUGCCCAAAGCUGCAUUAAAACCUCCCCAGCACAAAGGGCCGACAGUGAGUGGGGCUGGCGGCUUCUCCCAGGGGCACCCAGAUUGUGCUGGGCUCUGUUUACAAGGCAAGCAGGUUUCAUGCUACUUUGGGCUUAGUAGGGUCUCGCCGAGAUAACAAAACCUCCUCUCUUUUUCCUGGGAAGGGCAAAACUCUAAAGUGAAAAGAUUAACGCCGACGCAGCUCUCAAGCUGCUCGCCAGGGCAGAGCAACCUUUCUGGAGAGCCCAGCUCUGAAUGGAGCUGCUAUGGCUUUAUUUAUUUAUUUACUUCUGUUUUAGAAAACAUCUUUAUUUUGAUAUUCCCAUACAUCAAAUACAAUGCUGAGGAUAUCAAGCAAUCCCAGAGCAGGGCUUACUGCGAUACCACACCCACUGAGUUAUUCAUCCCAGUUCAGUCCUCACACUACAGAACAUCACCCUGAGCCAUCCUUCCCACGCAAAGGCACCCAAUUAGAUUCCAGGAUGAAAAUCUAUCCAUUAAAUAACUUUCCUACGGGGAAAAUUGCUGUCUACGUGACACAACGUGUCUUUCCAGGACGAGAUGUCCAUUAGCGCUAAUUGUGCUGGUGGCUUUGGUAAUGCAGACAGUGGUUGGUUUGGUGUCGGACAGACAGACCAAUCCUAUUUCCACUCAUUCUACUGAACAGAUAGUGGAUGUUAAUUACUCAAGUUACUAAUUUUCCAAACCAUGUUGUAACCCAUUAUCCAGGGGUGAAAAGAUUUGUAGCGCAUUAUCACGUCCUUCACAUCAACUAAUGACUCCAAAAAUAAACAUGUUUAAAGGGGUUGAAAUUAACAGUGAUUUCUAUGUGUUUUUGUGAUAACUGUAUUUUUGGC